AUAUAUUUAAACUGCCCUGAAGAGAACUCUACAGAGUUGAGAGUUUGUCGGACUUCGACUGGGUACUGCUACUGCUACUGCUGUUGCUGUUGCUGUUGACUGCUUUUGUGUACGUUGCUUACCUGUCGUGUUGGCCACGUUUGUGACGAUCCGAUCAGUGCACCGUCAGCCAGCGGCGCGCUCGCUUCGUACGAGCAGAGAGGCGCGCACCACAGAGCCCGAACCCCGAACCCCGAAGCCGAACCGAACCGAACCGCCCAUCCAGAGACCGACCACCUUGCACAAACAACUAGCAAUCGCAGAGAGAUACCAAAUGAACAAAAACAAAGUGUUUGAUAAACUGAUAAUACAAUAGAACAACAACAACAAAAAGAAUAUUAGAAAGCAAAUGAAACGUGGCGCACACAUAUGUAUAAAUAAUAUAAUAUAAACCCUAAAGACAUAUCAACCAAUACCAAUACGAACAAAAAUAACUGGCAAAAAUGCAAAGACAAAAAACCAAAACUAAACCUAGCGGCAAAGUGUCAAUAAAACUCUCGAAUUCAUUAACACAACUCACAAAACGUUCUAUUAGUAAGCACUUGCAAAUUUCAACGAAAAGUGCCAGCUGUAAGAUAGCUGAAAAGCUAAAAAAAAAAAAAAAAAAAACACUGAACUGGAGACAAAAGCCCCCCACCCCAUACAGCGAAAGAGAGAGAUACGAUAUCCAUAGAUAUAUACAUAUAUAUAUAUAUAGUAGUUGAGAGAGAGAGAGAGAGACAGACGAGACGAGACGCGACUAGACACAAAUUAGCGUGGCCAACAGUCAAAAGGUCUAAUAGAAGCGCGUGUAUACGAGUAUACAUAUAUACAUAUGUAUACCCAUAGAGCAGUAUACCUCGUACACCUCACCGAGAGACCCAAAUGCCAUGAUCAUAAAAAUGUCGACAAAAAAAACAAAAAAUAACCAACCGAAACGAUGGCGACGAGACGAGAUGAGAUGAGAUGAGAUGAGACGCGACCGGGCUUGGAGAUGCUUUCAUGUCCUUGGCCUGUAAAAGGGCAGUCAAAUUCUUGGCACUCCAUAACAACAUCAUCAAAGGCGCAUAGCGAUGGCGAUGACAAUUCCCAGGAGUCCUUUCAGCGGAACCGUAACCAGAGCCAAGAAGCUGAGCCUGAGACUGUGGCUGAGGCUAAGCCCCCCCGCUGACGAGAACCAGAGCAGAGAGAGCAGCGCAGGAGAGCAGGAGAGCACCUCUAAGACAAAUGCUGUGUGGACUCGGUUACAAUUUGAUCUCGUCUUGUCAAUCAAUUGGCUGUGAUGGGAGACCUAGGAACUGGAAAUGAUCGUCAAGUUGAGGCUGACCAUCGGAAUGCUUCCUGUUCGGGUAAGUUGAUACGUUGUAGCAGGAGGCACCAGGGGUCGUCUGUGUGGCUUAAUGAGCCAGGCCACAAGACUCGAACGACCCCGACCCCAAGCUGACCUCAAAUCGGUCUGAAGCAAACUAAUUUAUCAAAAAACGGGGAAAGAAGCACUGAAAUAACUCUACGCAUAAUUAAAGCAAACCAAACCAGCAAUACACAAUGGAAGAGAGAAACAUAAAGAUAUCCAAAUGCGUUUUUAAACCGUUCAGCAACGCCUCUUUCUAACAGUUUUAGUUUUUUUUUUGCUUUUUUUUUUUUUUUUUUUAGUUUCUUUGAGUUUUGUUUGAUUUUUUUUCUCUUUUGGUUAAUUGCCGCUUAUUAAUCUUGGCCUGGCCUGGCUUGGCUUGACUUUGUUCCUAGGCCAGUUUAAUGGUCUCACAAAACAAAAUUCUAAUUAAUGAAAUAUUUUUCUGCCUCACCAACUACUUUCCUGGCCAUUGUCUGCCCAACACCAAAAAAAAAGGCAAUUAAUCAUACUAGAAAAAAAAAAAUAAAGCUACAUUUUGAGAAAGGUAGGGAAACAUUUUGGUUCGUUUGGAGCUGUUGACAAAUUUCAGAGUUUCUCAAAAAGAUUGACAGGAAAAUUAAGUAAUCAAUCAUUUGCUAUCAAAAGAAGCCGCCUCGAAGACUUAUUGCCUUUGUGGCCAACCAUCUGUGGAGAGACUGUUCGAGCUCGGACUUGGGCUAGAGAGAGGAGAGCCUUAUCAACAGAUGCUGCACGUCUGGGCCAUUAUUUAAAUGUUAAUGGGCGACAUCACGUUAGUUGUGAAUGUUGACAAAAUCUGAGCGUAGUCUCAGCUAUGAUUAAGACGGGGGAACAGACAUUAAGCUGGCUUAGCUGGGUAUUAUAAUCGGUAAUCGUGGAUGAGAACAAAGGUAUAUUGUAUUUGUGACGAAAGGCAGGAACCUUAGCUACAUUUAAAUCUUUAUUCAUUGGCUUCCGACGUAGAGCUGGAAAAAGCUGAUAAAAAACACAUUUCGACUACCAAAUAAAAUACUCUGAACUGUGCAGCUUAAUUCAGUCGUAGUAAUGGGUAUCCCAUAGUCGCUAUAUCGAGCAAAACAUUCCAUACUUGUUUUCAGUUUGCUGUUUGCUGCUGUGCUAUCUCGCAUGCGAUUGAAAUGAAAUAUAAAAUUACAUUAAAUUACCGGAUGUAAUUGCGGUGGUCGUGCCAGUCGCUCAGCUCAGUCCGACUCCACCGAGAUCUGCCAGCUUGGUCAGUGAAUCAUGAUGGAGAGACCCCAUCUACACAGCACACAGCACACGAAAUGCGUCCAAACACACACAAAAGACUCAGGCCACGAACUUGGGUCGCUACGAGCCCAAGCCCGAGCCCGAGCCCCAGACCGAACACUCAUCAUGACCAAAUCAGGGGAGAGAACUAUGUACGAGUACACACAA